rnacentral:tmRNA from 1 species
GGGGGCGACCCAGCUUCGACGGAGAUACGGUUCCGUAGGAUGCGUGCCGAGGACCAUCACCCUCGUUAAAAGAUGGAACCAACCUAACUGCGGAUACGCAGCUCGCACUCGCAGCCUAAACCCCUGUGAGCGUCCGUCCUCAUCAGCCUGCGGGUGGGGAACGGAUGUCAAUUCAGCAGGCUGGCUGACGCCGGUCGUCCUGGACGGCGGCAGCGAGAUGUUCCGGGGCUGGCCCCCGGCGGUUCUGGCCGCUUCUUCACGUCGGGGGCGACAAAUCAGAGGCGGAUACGCAUCGUAGAUUCCUGCGGGGAUGUAUUUUCGGACCCGGGUGCAACUCCCGGCGCCUCCACCA